CUUUAAAAAUUUUAUCCAUUUUUACUGUUUAAAACUAGUAUGACUGACAAAAUAACUAGAUAAUUACACAUGACGUGUCAUGUAUGUCUCAUGCUGAUGUAUAGAGACCAGUUUUUAACAGUAGAAAUUGAUGUAAUUUUUAAUA
rfam:Gossypium raimondii Chr03_contig_1063, whole genome shotgun sequence.